AGCAGGAAGCACUUUGCAUUUUUUCUGGUUGCCUGUUGGAGAAAGACACCCCUUGUUUCCUCUAGGAGACUGUUUUUAUGCAGGUCCUGCAUGCAAUGUGCCAAGCUGGAAGCAUAAAGAAGCAAAAGUGAACAAUGAAGCUGAAGCUGUUGGGGAGUUCCCCAUGUCUGCCAGUCUGCAGUGGUUCAGCUGGAAGAGCUGGAGCAAUUGGAAGGAGAAGGGCAACACAGAGUAAAGAGGUAACAGGAGCAAAGGCAAAGCAAGUGAAGUCACUUUCACUGAGCCAGGAGGAUCCAGCAAACAGCAUGGUGAGGACUUGGAAAGGAAAAUGAAAUGUUUUCCUAAUACAAGAGCUGUUUGUAACACG